GUAGAUUUUCCAACUGGUAUUAAGAAAACUAAAGAAAUCUGAAUGGCAAAGUUUAGAAGAUACAGGACUGAAAGCUGGUGGAAAUUAUGAUUCCACUCUAUUGAGAAAAGUUAAUCUGGGAGACUAUCACUACCAUGAAUAAGAAGGACAGAUAGAUAAAAAAUUAGAAGAGUGGUUUGUAGCAAUAAUCUAGUUUUAGAUUCAUUUAUCUCUGAGGCCCAAAUAUGCCCUUGCUCUCCCAGUAGUGGAACCCUCUGUGGACAUGCAUCCAAAGGUUAACAAUCUAGAAGAGAAUAUAGAUUAUUUUAAUGUCUUUAUUUUUUAGGAACUACAUGCUCUAAAUUUAGGUCAAGGAACCUGUAUCACUUUUGGUGAAAAGCAGCAGUUACAAAUAAAAGCUUUUUUUCUGUUUUAUUUUUUUCUUCUUUAGCCACACCUUACUGCAUGAGGAACUUCCAGUGGAAGGUCAGAGUCUUAAUCACUGAAUCACCAGGGAAACGCCAUUCAUUUCAAAUGUAAGUGAUGUUACUAUUCAUAAACAAAGUAGGAUAACAGAUUAUCGACUCUCUUCUAUAAGCAGUCUGGAUAUUUUAUGUAGAUGAGAAAUUCUACACUGGGCCUAGACCAAGAAUAACUUCAGUAUUCAUGUGAAUGUCAGGUAAGAUUAGAAUAAUAACACGAGAAAGAAUGAGACCAGUUUACCUUCAAUGCAACAUUUUGACUGGAGAUAUAGUUCACAAAGAAAGAUAACUGAAAUGGUGCCUCUAUCUCUAACAUUCAUCUUUCUACUUUAAUCAAAUUUAGUAUCUGACAUAUUCAGAGUACAUCAUGAGAAACACUGGGCUGGAAGAAACACAAGCUG
rnacentral:lncRNA from 1 species